UUUCGCUUUCAGAAUGUAGCUGUGGAUAUUUGAUAUCAUCAUAUUUCUAGCCUGUAAUAUCCCUUAAGCUAUGAAUCCCAGUUUACCAGUAUUUGAAUACAAACCAUUCUUUACCAGUUGCUGAAAUGAGUGGCUAAUUAAUUUCUUUCCUUUAACUUUCAAAUUGCUUAAGCCUUGGAAUUAUUACCAAUUGAAUUUAUUUUCCAGGAAGAACUGGUCAAGAAGAGUCAGAUAGCUGGCUCAAUGGGUUAAAAGUUCUUCCCACACAAUCCUGAAGACUUGAGUUGAGUACACCGGAUCCACAAAAAUACAGUAGUCGUGUUUCACAACUGUAACCCCAAAACUUCUAUUGGGCAGUAGAAGGUAGGGACAGGAAAAUCACCCUGAUGCUCACACUCCAGCCAAGGGGUAGAAA
rnacentral:lncRNA from 1 species